GAUGAACGCUAGCGGCGUGCCUAAUACAUGCAAGUCGAGCGAACAGAUGAGGAGCUUGCUCCUCUGACGUUAGCGGCGGACGGGUGAGUAACACGUGGAUAACCUACCUAUAAGACUGGGAUAACUUCGGGAAACCGGAGCUAAUACCGGAUAAUAUAUUGAACCGCAUGGUUCAAUAGUGAAAGACGGUUUUGCUGUCACUUAUAGAUGGAUCCGCGCCGCAUUAGCUAGUUGGUAAGGUAACGGCUUACCAAGGCAACGAUGCGUAGCCGACCUGAGAGGGUGAUCCGCCACACUUGAACUGAGACACGGUCCAGACUCCUACGGGAGGCAGCAGUAGGGAAUCUUCCGCAAUGGGCGAAAGCCUGACGGAGCAACGCCGCGUGAGUGAUGAAGGUCUUCGGAUCGUAAAACUCUGUUAUUAGGGAAGAACAAAUGUGUAAGUAACUAUGCACGUCUUGACGGUACCUAAUCAGAAAGCCACGGCUAACUACGUG
rnacentral:rRNA from 1 species